rnacentral:sRNA from 1 species
CCCGGUCUGCGGUGGGCAGCCGCUCAGGGAUCCAGCACCGGCUCCUCCUCCGGCAACCACGGUGGGAGCGGCGGAGGAAAUGGACAUAAACCCGGGAUCUCCCGACUCUGGCUCACAAAGUGGGUUCUUCUCUCAUCCCAUAUCUCCUUGGUUCCGUAGAACUCUGAGACGUCUCCUGGGAUGUUUAACUUUGACACUUUCUGGAAGAAUUUUAAAUCCAAGCUGGGUUUCAUUAACUGGGAUGCCAUAAACAAGAACCAGGUCCCGCCCCCCAGCACCCGAGCCCUCCUCUACUUCAGCCGACUCUGGGAGGAUUUCAAACAGAACACUCCUUUCCUCAACUGGAAAGCAAUUAUUGAGGGUGCAGACGCAUCAUCACUGCAGAAACGUGCAGGCAGAGCCGAUCAGAACUACAAUUAUAACCAGCAUGCGUAUCCCACUGCCUAUGGUGGGCAGUAUUCAGUCAAGACCCCUGCAAAGGGGGGAGUCUCGCCUUCUUCCUCGGCUUCCCGGGUGCAACCUAGCCUGCUGCAGUGGGUGAAGUUUUGGUAGGCAAUUUCUUCCAACCACCACCAAGGCCCCGAAAAGCACUGGUCAUCAGGGAGCUCCUCCCCUUGGCCCC